GGGUUGGGAAAACCUUGAGUAAACAAGAAAUAUGCUCCUCCAAGAAGUAGUUGUGGUUGGAAGCAUACCACAGAAGAAACAGAACUCCCCUAACCAAGAGACCUAACAAUGCAAAUGGAAAGAAAGAUUCUCUCUUUUGUAUUAUGCCAGAUGAAAGAGAAGGACAAGCACACUUUAAAAGACCACAGUACAGAGGCAGGAGAAUACCUUUUGUAGCACUAAAGUUUAAAAGAUGAAAAAAGACUGACCACUGAAGUACACUAAAGAAAAGAGAAAGAUGCAGAAAAAUGAGAAUUUAAAGUGACAGCACAUGUAUCUGUUGCUUGCAAUAUGAUCAAGAAUAAGGAAAAUGCAGAACUUAGGGGAAGAGAGGUGCAGUUUAAUAAAUAGCUAUUAAAAAUCCUUGGAACAAGGAUUAUGGCUAUAACACCUUGUAAAUUGAUCACCAGAUAAAAUUUAAAAAAAAACUAAGACAAAAUCUGUGUUUUAAAAAAUGCAUUUGCCUAAGUAUUACAAUACAUAUGUGAAAAAGAACUUAAAAUGCACAAGUUAAAAAAAAAACAGAAAAUGAUUAAUCUUAAAGCAUCAAGAGUAAACUAAAAGACUGGGGAGAUAAAAAUCUGAUAAUAUUUGAGCACAGAGGGCUAAAUGAUAUUGUUAUGGACACUAACCAAACACUGACAAAUACUUUGUUAAUUAUAUGAUCAUGCAUAUAUAUACACAUCUUGGGCUUGAGAUAAAUGGUUAUGAAAAAUAAUUGCUGUGAAAUUGCAUAUAUGUACAUAUACCCUUUAAAGUCCAUACCACAAUAAACUUCAUUACUGUAUAUCA